rnacentral:lncRNA from 1 species
ACAUGUGUGUUUUUUCUCUACUGAGUUUUGAGAAUAAAUAAUGCAGAUAUUUUUGUUUUUGUUUGAAUUCAUAUUCUUCCUGCCUACCUCCUUCCUUUUCUUCCUUUUGUUUCUGUGAAUGAGUCAUCAGGCUGCUCCUGUGAUUGAGGAUGAGUAACUGGGUUACUUACUGGGAAGACUGUUUAUUCCAAGUUGGAUUGUUUCAGGCAAAUGUCCUCAGUUCCUUGCAGUGUCCCUGCCCUGUCCCCUGGGGUAGAGGUCUGUCAGGACUUUUCUUCCGUGGACCACCCCAGCUCCUCUGCUCUCUGAGGGUGAUCAGCUUUGAUGAUCUCAGGCUCUUGGUGAGGCCCUUUCAGAUGCAUGUGCAGCACCUCUGAGGUCCUGUGGGGGCCCUCUGUUGUUUUAAGGAGUUGCCUUUGCAGCUGUGCAGGUGCUGGGUCACAGAGGGGUCUUCUCCCAAACUUUUGGACAUUCAGCAUUUUAUGAAAACUCACAUAACAUAUUUAUCCUGUAGACCUGAAAAUACCCAGUCAAUAGGUCCAUGUCAGAUGUCAAACCAUGGGACUAAAAGAGACCACAGGCUUGAUCUAGACAUCCCUGUCCUUAUCACUGUCCCCUCCCAGGGUGUGAUGAGGAGAAGCAGCCGGAGCUAGGAGCCCAGCUUUGGAUAUGGAGACUCCAGGCAAGGCUUCUACUCCUCACUCACGCUGUGUUGCAGGUAAGGCCCCUUUCAGUUCCUGUGCUGGUUCUAAACCAUUUCAGAAGAAUGGCUGGCUGACCUAGAGAUGCUAGCGUUUCCUCCCUAAGCCUAGAAAUGCACUGGGCGUUGCGUGCAGGUCCCAGACUGGAGGAAGGGCCUGAUGCUCAGCUUGGUUGACACUGAUAUUGGAGCCUGUCUCCCUCUGUCCUCUUUCAACACUUGCAGCCACCUUCAGUUAUUUGUUCCGCCAGCUCUCGAGGUUCAUGUUUAAGAGUCUUUUGAAUGCUUGAUCCAAAUACCACCACCUCCAGUUUAAGCUCAUGGCUUUUAUUUUACUUUAAAAUGAUUAUAGUUUUAAUUUUUUUUAAAUUUUUUACAAUUUUAUUGAAGUGUAGUUGACCUACAAUGUGGUAUUAAUUUUUGCUGUAGAGCAAAGUCAUUCUGUUAGACGUAUGCACAUAUGGAUUCUUUUUCAGAUUCUCUGCCUAUAUUCCUUGAUUUGCAGAAUAUUGUGUUUGGCUGAAAAAGGUCUCAGGUGAAGUACAUCACCAGCAGUACACGGCGCAGAAUUUCCACACCACCUUCUUCAUUCCAUUAUGCUGCUUUCUGGAAACAUAAAUCUCUUCUAAUUAUGAGUAUAUAUAUUUAUUAUCUGACAAGCAAAUCUAGUUUGCCUUUCUGUGAAAUUACUUCACUGCAGUGUAACUUCUAGGAGCAUAUUUAACAUCAAUAAAAAAUAAGCCCGCGUUAUUGAAACCAUACAUUAUGCUCAGGACAAGAACAAGAAGAUCUCUGUAGCACAAUGGAAAAGUUAAUUGGAAAAUAUGAUUAACGGAGAAGUCCACAGGGUCACAUGGAAACCGUUUUCCUUGCUGCCUCUCAGGGUAGCCAUUUAAACUCUUGAAGAUGCUUUCUCUGAUCCUGAGAGUAUGGAACUGAUGUUGCAGAGUGUUGUGUACGUCCCAGACCAGGAUGAAUUCGAGAUGCAUGCCCUACCCUCCUAGUUCUCAUAGUUUAGCUGGGCAGAGUUUGUAAGGUGGCACAGUGUUCCAGAACUGGCAAAGUCAGUUCUUGCACAGGUAAAGACAGCACCAUCUGACAGGCCCCUGGUACAGUCUGCUGGUGGUGCUCUUAUGCAUAUAGUCUGGGGAAGGCCGUUAAUACAGGAGAUGCCCGUGGAGUGCGGCAGUCCCUUGGCAGUGGCUGCUACUUGCCUCUUAAAACUGGAGGAAACUCUGUUUCCAAAUCUUGUUUUUAUUUUUUAUUUUGUAAUCAGCAUAAAAUCUGGAAUGAGGAGAAUUAUAUCUGAAGUGCUCUUUCUCAAAGAGAAAAAUGAGCAGAGUCAGCUCUAUCAUCUCUACCCUGAUUGUAAUGCUAAAUUAGGGAAGAUAAAUGUACCUGAUUUAUAGUUUCAAAGACUGCACUGCUUAACAUCUCCUCUCUAGGGCUCCUAUGGACUGAAGAGGGUCCAUAGCAAACCUCACAAUGCAAAUUACUCACAGUAUGUUCCUAUAAUUCAAACAACAACAAAAGAAUCACAAUGCUCUCUACAGAGUGCCUGUAAAUAACUGUGGUUUUAAUUAAGCCCUCAGUGAAAUGAAAAAAAGAAAAGAAUUUUUGGGACGUCCUCCAGCACCUCACGUAGCCCUCAGAGCUUGGAUCUACUGGGUUGGAACCCAGAAAGGUCCAGUCUGUUCUUGGCCGUGCAGCCCCUACCUCCUCCUGCCCCCUUAAAAAGGAGCUGUGCACUGUGGCUUUGCUUGGUGGCCAGAAGAGAGCUCUGUGGGGACAGAGUGUGCAGCCUGCUUUGCUUGACAUCACAGUGAGGGAACAUGAACUCAGCAACUGUUCAGUGAGUGGGGACCCUUAGGACCUGACCCAUCACACUCAGAGCAUAAACCAACCACAGGUAAUGAAUGUGAUGGGAGGACACCACUGUAUUUAUGUCAUCAUUUCGUGGAUUCGUUAUAAAGCAAAACGAUCCUAGGGUCUUGAGAGUCCAUGCUUAUUCAGUAUCUUAAAACUAGGAAGCAUUUACAAGAUUGUGAAG